rnacentral:antisense_RNA from 4 species
CGUUAUGGCAGCUGUACGCGGGAGACCUUCGGGUCUGCCGGCUUCCACUCCGGUUCGCCAACCUGCGUACAGUUGCCACCUUU